UAGGGAAUCUUCCACAAUGGACGCAAGUCUGAUGGAGCAACGCCGCGUGAGUGAAGAAGGUUUUCGGAUCGUAAAGCUCUGUUGUUGGUGAAGAAGGAUAGAGGUAGUAACUGGCCUUUAUUUGACGGUAAUCAACCAGAAAGUCACGGCUAACUACGUGCCAGCAGCCGCGGUAAUACGUAGGUGGCAAGCGUUGUCCGGAUUUAUUGGGCGUAAAGCGAGCGCAGGCGGAAGAAUAAGUCUGAUGUGAAAGCCCUCGGCUUAACCGAGGAACUGCAUCGGAAACUGUUUUUCUUGAGUGCAGAAGAGGAGAGUGGAACUCCAUGUGUAGCGGUGGAAUGCGUAGAUAUAUGGAAGAACACCAGUGGCGAAGGCGGCUCUCUGGUCUGCAACUGACGCUGAGGCUCGAAAGCAUGGGUAGCGAACAGG
rnacentral:rRNA from 4 species